AUUGAACGCUGGCGGAAUGCUUUACACAUGCAAGUCGAACGGUAGAGGGGGCAACCCCUCGAGAGUGGCGAACGGGUGAGUAAUAUAUCGGAACGUGCCCAGUCGUGGGGGAUAACGUAGCGAAAGUUACGCUAAUACCGCAUACGAUCUAAGGAUGAAAGCGGGGGAUCGCAAGACCUCGCGCGAUUGGAGCGGCCGAUAUCAGAUUAGGUAGUUGGUGGGGUAAAGGCUCACCAAGUCAACGAUCUGUAGCUGGUCUGAGAGGACGACCAGCCACACUGGAACUGAGACACGGUCCAGACUCCUACGGGAGGCAGCAGUGGGGAAUUUUGGACAAUGGACGCAAGUCUGAUCCAGCCAUUCCGCGUGCAGGAUGAAGGCCCUCGGGUUGUAAACUGCUUUUGUACGGAACGAAAAGGUCUCUCUUAAUACAGGGGACUCAUGACGGUACCGUAAGAAUAAGCACCGGCUAACUACGUGCCAGCCGCCGCCGUAA
rnacentral:rRNA from 1 species